rnacentral:rRNA from 1 species
GACGAACGCUGGCGGCGUGCUUAACACAUGCAAGUCGAACGGAAAGGCCCCUUUGGGGGUACUCGAGUGGCGAACGGGUGAGUAACACGUGAGUAACCUGCCCUUGACUUCGGGAUAACUUCAGGAAACUGGGGCUAAUACCGGAUAGGAAUCCUUGCUGCAUGGUGGGGGUUGGAAAGCUUCGGCGGUUUUGGAUGGACUCGCGGCUUAUCAGCUUGUUGGUGGGGUAGUGGCUUACCAAGGCUUUGACGGGUAGCCGGCCUGAGAGGGCGACCGGCCACAUUGGGACUGAGAUACGGCCCAGACUCCUACGGGAGGCAGCAGUGGGGAAUAUUGCACAAUGGGCGGAAGCCUGAUGCAGCACCGCCGCGGGCGGGAUGACGGCCUUCGGGUUGUAAACCGCUUUCAGCAGGGGCGAAGCUUGUGGUGACGGUACCUGCAGAAGAAGCACCGGCUAACUACGUG